UACGUAGGGUGCAAGCGUUGUCCGGAAUUAUUGGGCGUAAAGAGCUCGUAGGCGGUUUGUCGCGUCUGCUGUGAAAACUCGGGGCUUAACCCCGGGCCUGCAGUGGGUACGGGCAGACUAGAGUGCGGUAGGGGAGACUGGAAUUCCUGGUGUAGCGGUGAAAUGCGCAGAUAUCAGGAGGAACACCGGUGGCGAAGGCGGGUCUCUGGGCCGUAACUGACGCUGGAGGAGCGAAAGCGUGGGGAGCGAACAGG
rnacentral:rRNA from 1 species